UACCAACAGAGGACCCAUCAA
rnacentral:misc_RNA from 1 species